GAUGAACGCUGACAGAAUGCUUAACACAUGCAAGUCAACUUGAACUUCGGUUUGGGUGGCGGACGGGUGAGUAACGCGUAAAGAACUUGCCUCACAGCUAGGGACAACAUUUGGAAACGAAUGCUAAUACCUGAUAUUAUGAUUAUAUGGCAUCGUAUAAUUAUGAAAGCUAUAUGCGCUGUGAGAGAGCUUUGCGUCCCAUUAGCUAGUUGGAGAGGUAACAGCUCACCAAGGCGAUGAUGGGUAGCCGGCCUGAGAGGGUGAUCGGCCACACGGGGACUGAGACACGGCCCUUACUCCUACGGGAGGCAGCAGUGGGGAAUAGUGGACAAUGGACCGAGAGUCUGAUCCAGCAAUUCUGUGUGCACGAUGAAGUUUUUCGGAAUGUAAAGUGCUUUAAGUUGGGAAGAAAAAAAUGACGGUACCAACAGAAGAAGUGACGGCUAAAUACGUG
rnacentral:rRNA from 1 species